UCCCUCCGGGAUCCCUGUUGAAACCCAGGGCGUGUAACCCAUGGGGCAAGUCAACCCGGGGAAAGCCCACGGCGCAUUUGGUCGCUCGCCCACCACGGGCUUUCCUCCCCGAUCCCCGUCAUUUCCACGGAGAAACAAUCCACACCUCCAGGGGUUGGGGAGAAAACCCUCCAGGCGACGGCGCUAGUGGCGGAGAACAGCGCAUCGACCUUCCUCAGGCGACGGUUCCAAAGCGAUGGCCUCGGCGGCGACGACGGCGGCCCAGCGGUCGUCCUUCUCCGGUCCCCAAGACCCCGCUUCAAAGUCUUGUUUCUCCCGUUCAUGCCCAAUGAAUUGUGGUUGCAGAUCUAACGUGAUCCAAAGGCGAAAGGACAGUGCAGCUUGGCCUGGAGAUUGAGACAAACAAAGUUACUACUUCAUGCAUGAUAGGUGAGGUUUCUUGCCGGAAGUUGAUGGAAAUAUUCAAGAAGUUGAUGAUGGAAGUUACUCCGAGCUUAGUAUGGAGCAUGGACAGUUCACAUAACUGCAAUUUAAUAAAUGGAACAAAAUAUUGUAUACUUUUGGACUUGUAACUACAAGUACCAUUUUCCCUGCUGAUGAUGCAUAAUUUGUUUGACUUGACAUGUAAUUAAGACUGGUAUGCAUGUGUGGAUGUGAGUUGAAUAUAUUCUAAAUAUUGUGUAUUUUGAUUUUCCUGAAUUUCCCUUCAAAAUUAUAUUUCAGAUUUUAUUCUCAAUUGUUUUCAACCUCUGUGAAACGGGACAGUAUAUAUACUGGAAUUGCUAUG